CCAAUAGCGUAUAUUAAAGUUGUUGCAGUUAAAAAGCUCGUAGUUGAAUUUCGGGGUUAGUAGGUUGGUCAUGCCUCUGGUAUGUACUGGUCUCACUGAUUCCUCCUUCCUGAUGAACCUUAAUGCCAUUAAUUUGGUGUUUUGGGGAAUUUGGACUGUUACUUUGAAAAAAUUAGAGUGUUUAAAGCAAGCUAACGCUUGAAUACAUUAGCAUGGAAUAAUGAAAUAGGACGUUCGAUCCUAUUUUGUUGGUUCCUAGGAUUGACGUAAUGAUUAAUAGGGAUAGUUGGGGGCAUUAGUAUUCAAUUGUCAGAGGUGAAAUUCUUGGAUUUAUUGAAGACUAACUACUGCGAAAGCAUUUGCCAAGGAUGUUUUCAUUAAUCAAGAACGAAAGUUAGGGGAUCGAAGACGAUCAGAUACCGUCGUAGUCUUAACCAUAAACUAUGCCGACUAGGGAUCGGAUGAUGUUAAUUUUUUAAUGACUCAUUCGGCGCCUUACG
rnacentral:rRNA from 1 species